UGUCUAAAUAGUAUAUACACAUUACACCACCUUUUCGAGGUGGAAAAGAGCAUACAGCUUUUUAGAUU
rnacentral:tRNA from 1 species